AGACGUCAUUGGAAUCUGACGUGGAACAGUUUCUAGCAGACGAUACCUUGCAGACGAUCUUUUCUUCCCAUACUUUUUUAUUUACACUGGCUAUAUAUUAUAUAUAUUUGGGCAAGACAUUUCUUCUUGACAGCGAAAAACAUUUGAAAUCAAAUCGUAUGAGUUAUAAGGUGUGCCCAACUUCAACAUUACUGGAAGCUGUACGACAAUUAUUCUUCUCAAUAGCUGCAAAAUGCCCCUUCGGAGGUUGUCUGCAACCAACAUACGAAAAAUCGUAACAAGCAGUUCUAUUAAUCAACUAACUUUCCCCGUGGAUUACCAAGUUCUGAAAAUCGUCUUUCGUUUACAAAUGUUCUGUUAUUGAACAUAAACCCUCUGGUUACAAGGUGUGCUAUAAAGUUGGUUAACAUGAUAAUUGCAGUCAGGAAGAACUUAAGGCAGCUUUUGUAGGCUUGGCUAAGAAACAUCAUCCUGACAGUAAUCAAGAAGCUGAUUCAGCAAAAUUCCAACUGAUUGAAAAUGCAUACAGAAAGCUCCAAGAAAAAUUCAGCAUUGAGAUCAAGAGAUCAGAAUUAUUGACACACAAAGACAAAAAUAUUGUAAACAAAGACAUAACUCCAGAAGAAAGUGAACACAAUCUAGAACAUGAUAUUGAACAUACAGCCCCACAACACAGGCAAUUCCUUAAUCAUGAAGGCAUUGGGCAGGGUACACCUUUUCAAAGAGAGAAGCAAUACCAAAGACAUCAAGUUAAGAAAACAGUGGAGAAUGUGUAUAAUCAUCGUAUUUCCCAAAUUCCUAACACCGAAGAAAAUUCACUUAUUCGGAAAGAUAAUAAAGCAGCAAAGAAA